GACAGAGGGUGCAAACGUUGUUCGGAAUUACUGGGCGUAAAGCGCGUGUAGGCGGCCCUGCAAGUCGGAUGUGAAAUCCCACGGCUCAACCGUGGAAGUGCAUUCGAAACUGCAGGGCUAGAGUCCUGGAGAGGAAGGUGGAAUGCUUGGUGUAGAGGUGAAAUUCGUAGAUAUCAGGCGGAACACCGGUGGCGAAGGCGGCCUUCUGGACAGUGACUGACGCUGAGACGCGAAAGCGUGGGGAGCAAACAGG
rnacentral:rRNA from 1 species